rnacentral:rRNA from 1 species
UACGUAGGGUGCGAGCGUUGUCCGGAAUUACUGGGCGUAAAGAGCUCGUAGGUGGUUUGUCGCGUUGUCCGUGAAAACUCACAGCUUAACUGUGGGCGUGCGGGCGAUACGGGCAGACUGGAGUACUGCAGGGGAGACUGGAAUUCCUGGUGUAGCGGUGAAAUGCGCAGAUAUCAGGAGGAACACCGGUGGCGAAGGCGGAUCUCUGGGCCAUUACUGACGCUGAGGAGCGAAAGCGUGGGGAGCGAACAGG